AGACCCGAAACCCGGUGAUCUAGCCAUGGGCAGGUUGAAGGUUGGGUAACACUAACUGGAGGACCGAACCGACUAAUGUUGAAAAAUUAGCGGAUGACCUGUGGCUGGGGGUGAAAGGCCAAUCAAACCGGGAGAUAGCUGGUUCUCCCCGAAAGCUAUUUAGGUAGCGCCUCGUGAAUUCAUCUCCGGGGGUAGAGCACUGUUUCGGCUAGGGGGCCAUCCCGGCUUACCAACCCGAUGCAAACUGCGAAUACCGGAGAAUGUUAUCACGGGAGACACACGGCGGGUGCUAACGUCCGUCGUGAAGAGGGAAACAACCCAGACCGCCAGCUAAGGUCCCAAAGUCAUGGUUAAGUGGGAAACGAUGUGGGAAGGCCCAGACAGCCAGGAUGUUGGCUUAGAAGCAGCCAUCAUUUAAAGAAAGCGUAAUAGCUCACUGGUCGAGUCGGCCUGCGCGGAAGAUGUAACGGGGCUAAACCAUGCACCGAAGCUGCGGCAGCGACACUGUGUGUUGUUGGGUAGGGGAGCGUUCUGUAAGCCUGUGAAGGUGUGUCGUGA
rnacentral:rRNA from 4 species